rnacentral:misc_RNA from 1 species
CGUAACAAGGUUUCCGUAGGUGAACCUGCGGAAGGAUCAUUAACGUGCCGUGGCAGUCUCCGACUCCGGAACUGCUCACUGUGCCACCCGUGUUUACCUACCUGUUGCUUUGGCGGGCCUGCUCGCUGCCCGGAGACUGCGGUCCCCAGGCGUGCACCCGCCAGAGACCACCCGAAACUCUGGUUAAAGAUUGGCGUCUGAGUGAUUGAAAAAUCAGUCAAAACUUUCAACAACGGAUCUCUUGGUUCCCACAUCGAUGAAGAACGCAGCGAAAUGCGAUAAGUAAUGUGAAUUGCAGAAUUCCGUGAAUCAUCGAAUCUUUGAACGCACAUUGCGCCCUCUGGUAUUCCGGGGGGCAUGCCUGUUCGAGCGUCAUUGCAACCCUCAAGCGCGGCUUGUGUGUUGGGCCUCGUCCCCCGUAGACGUGCCCGAAAUGCAGUGGCGGUGCUGUGUCCUGGUGCCUGAGCGUAUGGGCUUACACCCGCUCCGAAGGCCCAGUUGGCGCCUGCCUGACCCUUAAACUUUUUAUGGUUGACCUCGAAUCAGGUAGGGAUACCCGCUGAACUUAAGCAUAUC